UGGAUGUGUCGGUUGGACUUCACUACUCAAACUCUCUCCCUCUAGUCACUUUCGUUCUUCUCUCGCAAACCAACGACGGCGCCGGAGAAAUCUGUUUCUCCGAGCGGCCACCACCACCGAACACCUCACCUUUGAUUCAUUCUCACGCUCACUUCGUCGAUUCACAAGAUAAACUCUCAAAAUCUUCCACUCGAGCCCCAAAUUGAAAACCCUAGGAACUAAGGUGAUGAUGAGACCGAGCUUGAGAUCAAGGGGGAAAGAAAUAGGAGGUCUCAACCUUCACAGUGGUUUCAAGAAAAUGCAGAGAAGACGAAUAAUCGAAGGAUUCGAAAAACUUACCGGUGAUGACGAUUCUUGAAGACGCUCAAAUGGAUGAGGAAGUACCAAAGACAAUUGCUAGAAAUCCAGGUGGGUUUUUCUGUGCAGCAGAAGGUUUUGUGUAGAGUGGAGCUGCGGUUUGAUUUUGUGAUGCAGGGGUAGGACCAUGGAAGGCGAGACUCGAAGAAAGGCGAGCAAAGUGAUACCGAAGGAGACUUGGUAAAAGAAGAUGAAGAGCAGGCUAUAAGUUUAAUAUGUAUUCUACACUAUAUAACUUUGUACAGUAUGUAACAUGGCUUGGACUUUGUGUGACAUGGCAAUAAUAGUUGAAUGAAUGUAUGAUUGUACCAAAAUAUGGAUCUGCAUAUAUUUGUAAUUUUCCUUGGCUUGUAUCAUAAACUUGGACCAAAUUUGAAUGAAAUAAGAUUUCCUCAUCAA